UCCGCCAACCUCACCUGAAAACCAUUGACAAUGGCCUCAGUCUUUCAACCAAUUUCCAUGUCUCCCACCACUUUGUCCUUAACUAGUUCCGGUACUUCAUUAUUAGCUGCAGGAAAACCAGCAUGGUUUUCCUUUUCCUUUAAUAAACACUCAUCCCUACCAAGUAGCAAAAACAAGUACUCAAGAAGAACAAGUGGUAGAGGUGGCAACGUUGUGUGCUUGAGAGGAGGAAAUAUCUCAGUCCAAACCAGUGCUCCUCAAACCACUACUGAUGCAGCUGUGGCUUUUGAUAGGCAGAGCUUCCCUCCUGGCUUUACUUUUGGUGCUGCCACUGCUGCUUAUCAGAUAGAAGGAGCUUGGAAUGAAGGAGGGAGAGGGCCAAGCAUUUGGGACACUUUCACCCAACAACACCCUGUUCGUCCGCCCUCUCUUCAUGCCCGCCUCCCCAAACCCUCUCCCCCUCUUGGGGAUACCCUCAACGGUCCACGACAACCCUCUCAGAACCCUCAUCCCCUCCGCCGUCGUGGCAGCUGCUCUCGCCCUCUCAAGCCAGCCCUCGCCACCACCUCCAUCUCUCAGUCUAAGACACUCCCGGAAUCCCUCACCGUCGAUGAGAAAGCCUGCACACUCGAAGAUCACCUCACCUUUGAUCCAGACGGCAUCAAGGCACUCCGAUCGCUACUUGAGCUCAAAGUGAAGACCAAUCUACUCCCUGACGCUAUCACCAUCAUCGAACGCCUCAUUGCUCUGGAACCUGACGGGAUUUUUUUCUAGGGAAUGGCGGUGGUUGCGGAGAGUACGAUCAGGUCCGAUGAUCAGCUUUCUCCGGACGGGAUCAAGAGUUUCAGAGUCAUGUGAAGAAGUUGGUUGACUUGUUGUCUCAGUUGAAUCCAUCAGCGAAGGAGUUUGUGCCAUCGUCGCGUGCUGGUGUCUUGGCAGCGGAUGGGCGGCAGGCUGGUGGUCACCGGCUAUCGGCGGACGCUCCCGUUUUCGUUUCGUCGGCGGUCGAUGGGCCUUCUAGUAAUCAGAAUAAUCAACAGCAACGUCGAAGAAGGAAUGGGUAUAAUCAGGGGAGGAGGAUGAGUGAGAGAGCUCGGAGAGAUCAGAAGGAGGAGAGUAUUAGGAGGACUGUAUAUGUUUCUGACAUUGAUCACCAUGUGAGCCUAUUGAAUAAGAAGUCACUGAAGAACAUCUCGCUGAAUUGUUUUGUUAUUGUGGAAAAGUGUGCACUGGAGCUAAGAGCGAAGAACAAUCGCUAUUAGCAUCAAGAAAGGAGUUCAAGGUUCAGAAUAUUGUCGGCACAUGUGACGUCCAGUUCCUGAUUAGACUUGAAGGCCUUGCUUGUUCCCACAAUCAUUUCUGCAGUUAUGAACCAGAAAUCUUUCCAUGCCUCAUUUACAGAAUGAGGGAACCAAAGACGUGCUUCUUAUCUUCUUUUCGGGAAAAGUCAUACUGAUAGGAAGCAAGUCGAAAGCAGACAUUUUAAGAGCAUUUCAGCAGAUAUAUCCACUCCUGGCAGAAUUCAGGAAGGCUCCAUUACCACCAUCAACACAACCAUAUACUUCUUAAAAUGGGACCUGGCACUGUCAAAUGGAAUAAAGGUGGUCCAAAGAUGCUCUCAUCUGCCAUUUUACAUUCUCAGUGAACAAGAAGAUAUUCUUCGACGUCCUGGUCAAGAUCCUGGCAUUUAAAACACAAGCUGUUGAUAUGUUUGCAUUGACUUACAAUCCAUGUAUUUUGAAGAAAAGCCAUUGCAUUAAUGAACAUCUAUAAAAGUUCAUUCUAUGAAGUCAAAGUUUGAGUUAAAUGUGUUUGCUUGACCUUGGACUUUGGAAGACGUGAAGCUGUUGAAGGGCAUGAACGUAGAUUCCUAUAGAUUCUCCAUUUCAUGGUCAAGGAUUCUACCAAAGGGAUCACUGAAAGGUGGCAUAAAUCAAGAAGGAAUCAACUACUACAACAAUCUCAUCAAUGAAUUAAUCAAAAAUGGUUAGCA